rnacentral:rRNA from 1 species
GACGAACGCUGGCGGCGUGCUUAACACAUGCAAGUCGAACGAAGUGGCGAACGGGUGAGUAACGCGUAAUCAACCUGCCCUUCAGAGGGGGACAACAGUGGGAAACGACUGCUAAUACCGCAUACUGAAGGAGGGGAUUGCGUCUGAUUAGCUAGGUGGAGGGGCAACGGCCCACCAAGGCGAUGAUCAGUAGCCGUUCUUGGAGGUUUAACGGCCACAUUGGGACUGGGACACGUCCCAGACUCCUACGGGAGGCCGCAGUGGGGAAUCUUCCGCAAUGGACGACAGUCUGGCGGAGCCACGCCGCGUGGGUGAUGACGGCCCUCGGGUUGUAAAGCUCUGUUAAUCGGGACGCGGUACCGGAAUAGAAAGCCACGGCUAACUACGUGCCAGCCGCCGCGGUAAUAC